rnacentral:rRNA from 1 species
AGUGAACGCUGGCGGUAGGCCUGACACAUGCAAGUCGAACGGCAGCACAGUAAGAGCUUGCUCUUACGGGUGGCGAGUGGCGGACGGGUGAGGAAUACAUCGGAAUCUACUUUUUCGUGGGGGAUAACGUAGGGAAACUUACGCUAAUACCGCAUACGACCUACGGGUGAAAGCAGGGGAUCUUCGGACCUUGCGCGAUUGAAUGAGCCGAUGUCGGAUUAGCUAGUUGGCGGGGUAAAGGCCCACCAAGGCGACGAUCCGUAGCUGGUCUGAGAGGAUGAUAAGCCACACUGGAACUGAGACACGGUCCAGACUCCUACGGGAGGCAGCAGUGGGGAAUAUUGGACAAUGGGCGCAAGCCUGAUCCAGCCAUACCGCGUGGGUGAAGAAGGCCUUCGGGUUGUAAAGCCCUUUUGUUGGGAAAGAAAAGCAGCAGGUUAAUACCCCGCUGUUCUGACGGUACCAAAAGAAUAAGAACCGGCUAACUUCGUG